AUCCCUUCGCCUUUGCGGGCUGCUGGCUGCGCGGCUUGGCCGGUCCGGCGACCCUACCGCGGUCCGGGGCUGCAGGGGGCGCCACGUGGUGCGCACGUGGUCCGGUCCCGGCGCGGCGGCCUCCCCUCCCCCAUGGCGCCGGCGGCCCCGGCGCCCCCUAGCGGUGGCCAGGUGCUCUGCGCUGCACGUCGCGCCUGCGCACAACGCGUCACGAUGCGCCUUCCGGUCUGCGCGGGAGCCGGGCGUGGAUCCGUUGCGUCCUCGUGAUGGCUGCGGGUCUGCGGCGCCCCGGGUCCCGAGGGGGCGGGGCGGGACGAGCCGCCGGGGGCGCACGUGCGGGGCUGGCGGAGGCUCGGGGCCGUGCCCCGUGCAAGUGGGGCCCGCGGCCGGACGUGUACGGCGGCCGGGCUGUGAAGCGCGUUGGGGGCAUCCGCGCGGGCCGGAGUGGGUGCAGGCCGGCUGCCGCCUCCCCAGCCUGAGUUUAAGUUCCCGGAGGGCCGACACCGCUGGUUUCCUGUCGGCGCGCUGUAAAAUGCUUAGUAAAAUAAGUGAACGGAGGGUGAAUUAAUUAUUAGGAUAUUCAGGAAGUGUUGUUUUGGGUGUUUUAUUCUAUCACCUAUGCUAUCGGUUUUAUUUAUGGGAUCCUACGUGAGAAACACCGUUGGGCCCAUAGUAAGCAAGGAGUCUGUGGUAGUUACUGUUAACGGCUGUUGCCUUUUUUUUUUUUUUUUUUUUGUCCUUUGACUUUAUUCCGUUAAGUGUAAAAAGAUUUGAGCAGGGCCUUAUAGAGAUUGAAAAGCAAACAAACUUUCCCCUUUUUUUCUGCCAUUUUAUCUUAAAGGCUCACAGUUGCAUUGCCACUGCUGGUUGCUCUGCCAAAUUAGUGUUUCUCAGAAGUUUACCCACUUCCGUAUUUUUAAAAUACCUAGUACGUACCAGACGUUGCCACAGGUCCUAAGGAAGAUGGGCCACACCUAGGACAGACUCUCCCGCUGGCCUCUCAGGAGCAAACAGCCCCAGAGAGGGAUGCUUGGCAGGGCACCAUGGAGCUUCUUGGACCUGAGGGCAGCAAGCAGCCCAGAAGAAGCUGGGCCAGCACCUCAAUCGUGGCCACGUGGGACCCUUAGCAGAGGACCAGCUGAGCCGUAUACCCAGACUCCUGCCACACGGACACCGAGGUUGGAAAUGUGUGGGCGGUGGCAGAGGAUGAGCCGUGUGCAGCCUGGGACGAUGCAACCAUCGGGCUUCCGGCGUCAUCAUCAACCGAGGAAGCUGGAGCCCUGGGUCAAGCCACACCGAACUUCCAUCUGCACCCAGAUCCCAGUGGCUUCUGUGAGCUUGGAUGAGACUCAAGUCUGCGUGGCCAUCUUCUCGGCUGUAAAACCAGGACAGCAGUCUCUAAUCCCCUCACGAGGGUGGGAAAGACCCUGAGAAGCCUGGGCUGCGGGCCCACCUCUGCAAGCCGAGGGCACCUCGCCGGUCCUGUUGGAACCUCAGUCUCCAGGCCGUACAGUGGAACUGAUGACACCUCCCUCUGCGUUGGCCUCUGCAAGCAAAUCAGAUUUUUUUAAAAAAACAACAGCAGCUUUGAAAAUGCUCAGAUGAACUUAGACUCCACGAGAUGCAAUCAGCAAAAGUGGGAAACAGACUCUGGGAAACUUUAAUGAACAAGUGACCCCGUUUUUAAAAAUAAAUCGAAAGGGGGAAAAAAGGAGGUGGAGGGAAAACAUGGACUAAAAGAGAUUAAGAGAAUCCUCACUCGUUGUUGGGAACAUCAAAUUCUGCAGUCACUUGGGAAAACGGUCUGGUGUAAUUUCUUUAAAAGUUAAGUAUACAUUCGGCGUGUAACCCAGCAAUUCCACCCCUAUAAAUCUACUGGAGAGAAAUGGAAACACAUGUCAACAAGUAGUGCAUAAAAGUUUAUAGCAGAAGUUUUACUAAAACCCAAACUGGAAACAACAUGUGUGUGUCUCAACUUGUGGACUGAUUUCUUUUUUUAAACGGUGGUAUAUUCAUACAAUAAAGCAUUGCCAGCAAUAACAGGGAUGAACUGCUGAUCUGUGCAACAUGGAUGAACCCCAAAACCUUGCGCUUUAUGAGAGAAGCCAGACACAAAAGACCACAUAGUGUGUGAUUCUGUGUAUGGGAAAUUGGUAGAAAAGGAAAAGCCAUAGAGAAAAAAGCAUAUCCGUGUUUGCCUGAGGCUGAAGGUCCGAGUGAGGAUUGACUGCAAAUGGGCCUGAGGGAACUUUUUGGGUGACAGAAACAUUCUGAAACUGGAUUGCGGUGAUUAUUGAACAACUGUACAAUCCUCCAAAAAUUUGUCAAACUGUACGUUACAGCGCGUGAAUUUUGUGGUAUGUAAAUUAUACCUCAAUUGAGGUAAAUUAUCCCUCGAUAAGGUUAUUAAAAGAUGAAAAUCAAAACACUGGCCCAAAAUUGUAUACUAUUAAGGCAGGAUUAGGAUUCUUUCAUGGAUUAUAAUAUUGAGGUGAUUUUUUUUUUAAAACCAACUCUUAUCUUUUAGGGAUACACACUGAAUUAUAGGAAAUGAUAUAAUGCCUAAGAUGGGCUUCAAAAUACUACGAGAGGAUUUGGGCGGCUUAUAGAUGAAACAAGGCUGUGUAUACGGAUCCCUGCUGGAGCUGGGUUUUGGGUACAUGGAGGUCUUUGAAAUCGGUGUGUAGUGUGUUUUCAUGGACAGUGCAUCUCACUUUGGCUGAGUCGCGUUUCCAGUGCUCAAGAGCUAUAAAUUAUACAGCGGCUAUAAAUGAUCCCUCUGGGGUUUCUGCGUGUGUUCUGGAUCAUGAAGCCUUAGAAGGGCCAUCACUUCUGCCCAGCUGCAUCCCCAGGAUUGUAGCAAAGGCUCCCGCCGAGGGCACAACCCCAGUGGUUCAUCAGUCAGGGGCUGGUUUUGUCUGCAGUGGGGACCCUCCACUGGGAUGACCCCACUGACUGCGCACUCGGAGGGCCUGACUUCAGGCCGCUGAUUUAAAAACCUGGCGUGACCUGUUCACCGGGUACAAAGGUGAUUUAUGCAGCCCAUCGGAUGUCUCUCCAGAAGAACGGGCCCCUGAGCGCUUAGAGAAUUUGUUUGUGGUGGAAGUAACAGCACAAAAACCUUCGCAGAGAAGCAGAAACAGAGCUGCUGAAUUACUGCUUGGAAUGACCUCUGUUUCCAUUCCUGCACGCACGGAGCUUACAUUGGUCCAUAACACACCACAGCCACGCAAGAAAAAAGCUAAAUGAGCUGAAGAAUCAAAACUUGUCUUAGAUCUGCCAGAGCAGUGAGGUCACAGGGCAAACCGCCGCCCUAGGUUGUUGGGACAGACAGACGAAUGCAGAGUCACGAUGCACGAAGCUGGAGAACAGGAGACGGUGGGGGGACCCAGGGCUGGGUGGACAGAUCACACACUCCUGGGGGCCCUGACGCUGCCGUGAGUUUUACCACCCGAAGCCCUGCCAGGUUUUCACAGUAAAGAUCAGGAAGAAGAAAAUCCCCUUGAGCUUUCUUCCAUCAGGAGAGGAGAACAGGCAUCGUGCGUUCUUUCUAUUCUCUGUAAGGCUUGCCUGGCUGAGCAGCUUCUGGGGGCUUCUGCGGAGCUGGCCCUCGGGCUAAGAGUCUUGCUUUCCUUAUUUCCAAGUCUAUUUUUACAAAACACUCUGCAUUUGUUGAGGUCACAGGAGUGACUCUCUCAGUGUCCCCCAACAGCCCUAAGCCCAUUUCACAGCAGAGGAAACUGAGGCCCAGAGGCCAACUAACUUGUUUGAGGGCUCAGAGCUGGUUAACAGUGGGGCUGGUGCCCCUCCCCCAGCACCUUCAUUCCACUUUGUCUUGACGUGGCGAAUCCCCCAGGCUCAGGCGAACUUCUGGAAGACGCAGCCCUGCCAGCAUCUCACAAGAGACCCCAAGCCAGGACCACCCCGCUGGGUCACCCCCAAAUUCCUGACGCGCAGACACUGUGAGAUGGUACACGUUGAUUGGUUUCAGCUGCUACGUUUUGGAACCGUUUGCUGUUACACAGCCACGGAUGAGUAACACACAACAUCUUUUUUUCCCUGAGCGCCAACACCCGAGUGUUCUGUCAAGAGUAGUUUUCAACCCGGCUUUGUUUGAACAAGUUUCCUGUGGUGUCGAAGUCAGACAUGUCUUUUCCUGAAUUAGCGUUUAAGAAAUAUGAUCGGUUCUAAAUGACAGGGUGGCCAGGGGCGGCUGUAAAAGAAAAACAAGCCAGCCUGUUCCAAGUGAGCUGAGGACACAGGGGCCAUCUCUCUCAGGUUUUGGGGGCCUCAAAUGGGUGAGGAAGUUUCUUGGAGGAUUAUUCUGUCUGUCUGUCUCUAUCUUCUGUAGCGAUACAAAAAUGCAGUCCUUCCCAGUAGUGGUCAGAGGCCCGUCACUGUGUGAUGUAACGCCCCAGGGACUCAGUGAACACACAGGAAGCAGCAUUGGGGAUGCAGGGAGGAUCCGAGAAGGAUACAGAAGCAGCAGGAAGUGACAUUCAGCAGACAGGAAAAGGAAGGGGACGCUGAAAACACAGAGAAUGGUCUGGGCUCCUCAGUCAUUUGCCAGAUGCACGUCGAGCUUCAGGCCCUCGAAGCUGUGAGUGUGGACCCGCCGCUUUCAGAUGCUGAGGCUUCUCAGCCCAUCUGCCCACCUUCAGACCCAGCCAGGACUAGGUGGAGGGGUUUCCACCGGGCCCCUGUCUUGUGAUGGGGAACAGGCCAAGCGAGGACCCCUUCGGCUCAAGGCAGGAGGGUGACCCCAUCGGCGCUUUUUGCGGAGGUCUUGUGGUACAGCUCUGCCCGGAGCACGUUGGUGUGAUUCCCUGACUUUGGAGGAUGAAGGGAGGAGAGGGCAGAGGCAGCUCAGCCACACCCCGCCCCCAGAGCAGCACGGUCCAGAACUUUCUGCAGUUAUGGGAACUUUCUUCAUCUGCACUGUUCAGUACAGCAGCCAUUAGCCACGUGGGUCUCCAGAUCCAGCUCUUGAAAUGUGGCUCGUGCCACGUUUCACAAGGAAGGGUUUCAUUUUAUUUCAUUUUCAUUAGAGUAUAAGUGUAGAUAGCCAGAUGUGACUAGCGGCUUCUGAAUUGGACGACAUGGCUCUUAAUCCUUGUUUUGGGUCUAUAAUCACAAACUCUCUCUCUCUAUAUAUAUUUUUUUUUUUUUAAAUUAAAUGUACAUAGAGUAAAAGGUACAUGGAGUAAAAUUCACUUUUUUUGUGCACAGUUCUGCUACUUUCGACAAAUACACGGAGUCAUGUAAUCACCACCACAAUCAUCACCUCCCACCCGGGAUUCCCACGUGUCAUUUUGUAGGUAGCCUCUCCCCAGACCUCCAGCCCCUGGAAUCACUCAUCUGUUUCUGUCUCUAUAGUUUUGCUUUUUCCCGAGUGUCCUACAAAUGAAAGCAUACAGGAUGCACUUGGGGUCCUCCGUGUUGUUCUAUGUACGCGUCCUUCGCUCCUUUUUAGUGCAGCAUUAUAUUCCGUCGUACGGUUGUACCUAAGUUUGUUUUCCACUCCCCAAGUGAGGUGCAUUUGGAUUGUCGGGUUGUCAAGUUUGGGGUCUUUAGGAAAAAAGCCACUACAGAUAAUCAUGUACAAGUUUUUGUGUCCACACAAGUUUUCAUUUCAAUUGGAUAAAUAGCUAGUGAUGGGAUUGCAGGUCAUUCAGAAAGGUAGUUGAACUGUAUAAGAAACUGCCAGACUUUUCCAAAGUGGCAGUACCGUCUUGAAUUCUGCGAGCCAUGUGGGAGAACUCCAGACCUUAUCAUUUUUAGCAGAUAUCCCAGCGUGGUUUUUAACCUGCUCCCUAACAAUGAAUGAUGUUGAGCAUUUUUUCCUGGGCUUGUUUUUCACACCUAUAUCUUUAGUGAAGGAUCUGUUCAUGUGUUUUUAUUUUUUUUAAGACUUUAUUUUAAUUAUCUGUUUUUGUUUUUGUUUUUUGGCUGUGUUGGGUCUUUGUUGCUGCACACGGGCUUUCUCUAGUUGCGGCGAGCGGGGGCUACUCUUCGUUGUGGUGCGCGGGCUUCUCAUUGCGGUUGCUUCUCUUGCUGCGGAGCACGGGCUGUAGGCGCGCAGGCUUCAGUAGUUGUGGCUCGAGGGCUCUAGAGCGCAGGCUCAGUAGUUGUGGUGCACAGGUUUAGUUGCUCCGCGGCAUAUGGGAUCUUCCUGCACCAGGGCUCGAACCCGUGUCCCCUGCAUUGGCAGGCGGAUUCCUAACCACUGUGCAACCAGGGAAGUCCCACGUGUAUUUGUUUUUAAUGGAUUGUUUCUCCAGAUAUUUCAUGGCCUCUUUUUAACAUGGCCUUCAUCGUCACCCCCCAAUACAGUGUGUUUUUCUUGUAAACGGUUUAGUGUCUUGUAGUUAAUUCUGUUCCUUUUUGUUCCUGCGACCAGCUCCAGAGGCUUCCAUCAGGGUAAGAGCCUGGGUGUCGUGGGCUCCCAGCAGUUAACUGGGUUCUCCCUUGCAAAUUUUUUCUUUUUCCUUUUUUGAGCGAAUGCAUCGUGAAGCAGCUUAAGCAGGCCCUCUAGACCCGGAGAGAGUGUGAGAAGAAUUCACUUUCUCCGAUUCUGGUUCUAUAAUGGCUUUUUAUUGCUCCUUUUCUGGCCCUCUCUGUUGAAGCUGUCAGUGUAUCGAAGGCUUGCUGUUUAAGAGGAAAGGAAUUGCAAGGUUCAGUGGGCAUCUAGGAUUGCAGGGUCAUCGUGAGUCAGCCCUGGGAGCUCCUGCCAUUGUCACAUACAGGUUCUUGCUGGUCAGGAAAAGAACUGUCCAGGUCUGUCAGUCUGCACAGAAGUCUUCACAUUUAAUAUCGUCAAGCCUGAGGGCCGUGGAAGCACAUAUAUCCCUCUUGUUCUCAAACAGACCUGUCAUUAACAAGAGGGAAGUCACCCCAGAUGAACCAGAGGAAAGAACUUUGAAGGUUUUAUGUAAAUCUCUCUCUUUAAAGAAAAAAUUGUGGUAAAAGACAUGUAACACAAAAUUUACGAUCUUAACUACAGUUCGGUAGUGUCAAGUACAUUCACAUUGUUGUGCAGCCAUCACCACCGUCAUCUCCAAAACUUUUUCAUCUUGCAAAACGGAAGCUCUGUCCCCAUUAAACACUCACUCCCCAUUCAUUCCCGUCUCUCUGGGAAGUAACCACCCUUCUACUUUUUGUCUCUAUGAACUUGACUCCCCUAGGGACCCCACAUAAGCGGAAUCAUACAGGAUCUCUCUUUUCGUGACCAGUUGAUUUCACUUAGCCCCUUGUCUUGUCUCCAGGGUUCAUCUACGUUGUAGCAGGUGUCAGAAUUUCCUUUGUUUUUAAGGCUGAAUAAUGUCCCAUCGGACAUGUCAGUGGACCCUUGGCUUGUUAACAUCUUUUGGAUAUUGUGAAUAACGCUGCUAUGAACGUGAGCGUACAAAUGUCAUUUCAAGACCCUGCUUUCGGGACUUCUCUGGUGGCGCAGUGGUUAGGAAUUUGCCUGCCAGUGCGGGGGACACGGGUUCGAGCCCUGGUCUGGGAAGAUCCCACAUGCCGCGGAGCAACUAAGCCCGUGCACCACAACUACUGAGCCUGCACUCUAGAGCCCGCGAGCCACAACUACUGAGCCCGCCUGCUGCAACUACUGAAGCCUGCGCGCCUAGAGCCCGUGCUCCGCAACAAGAGAAGCCACCGCAAUGAGAAGCCUAUGCAUGGAAACGA